GUUGAACGCUAGCUACAGGCUUAACACAUGCAAGUCGAGGGGCAGCAUGGUCUUAGCUUGCUAAGGCCGAUGGCGACCGGCGCACGGGUGAGUAACACGUAUCCAACCUGCCGUCUACUCUUGGACAGCCUUCUGAAAGGAAGAUUAAUACAAGAUGGCAUCAUGAGUCCGCAUGUUCACAUGAUUAAAGGUAUUCCGGUAGACGAUGGGGAUGCGUUCCAUUAGAUAGUAGGCGGGGUAACGGCCCACCUAGUCUUCGAUGGAUAGGGGUUCUGAGAGGAAGGUCCCCCACAUUGGAACUGAGACACGGUCCAAACUCCUACGGGAGGCAGCAGUGAGGAAUAUUGGUCAAUGGGCGAGAGCCUGAACCAGCCAAGUAGCGUGAAGGAUGACUGCCCUAUGGGUUGUAAACUUCUUUUAUAAAGGAAUAAAGUCGGGUAUGCAUACCCGUUUGCAUGUACUUUAUGAAUAAGGAUCGGCUAACUCCGUGCCAGCAGCCGCGGUAAUACGGAGGAUCCGAGCGUUAUCCGGAUUUAUUGGGUUUAAAGGGAGCGUAGAUGGAUGUUUAAGUCAGUUGUGAAAGUUUGCGGCUCAACCGUANAAUUGCAGUUGAUACUGGAUAUCUUGAGUGCAGUUGAGGCAGGCGGAAUUCGUGGUGUAGCGGUGAAAUGCUUAGAUAUCACGAAGAACUCCGAUUGCGAAAGCAGCCUGCUAAGCUGCAACUGACAUUGAGGCUCGAAAGUGUGGGUAUCAAACAGGAUUAGAUACCCUGGUAGUCUACACGGUAAACGAUGAAUACUCGCUGGUUGCGAUAUACAGCAAGCGGGCCAGCGAAAGCGUUAAGUAUUCCACCUGGGGAAUACGCCGGCAACGGUGAAACUCAAAGGAAUUGACGGGGCCCCGCACAAGCGGAGGAACAUGUGGUUUAAUUCGAUGAUACGCGAGGAACCUUACCCGGGCUUAAAUUGCAGAUGAAUUACGGUGAAAGCCGUAAGCCGCAAGGCAUCUGUGAAGGUGCUGCAUGGUUGUCGUCAGCUCGUGCCGUGAGGUGUCGGCUUAAGUGCCAUAACGAGCGCAACCCUUGUUGUCAGUUACUAACAGGUUCCGCUGAGGACUCUGACAAGACUGCCAUCGUAAGAUGUGAGGAAGGUGGGGAUGACGUCAAAUCAGCACGGCCCUUACGUCCGGGGCUACACACGUGUUACAAUGGGGGGUACAGAGGGCCGCUACCACGCGAGUGGAUGCCAAUCCCCAAAACCUCUCUCAGUUCGGACUGGAGUCUGCAACCCGACUCCACGAAGCUGGAUUCGCUAGUAAUCGCGCAUCAGCCACGGCGCGGUGAAUACGUUCCCGGGCCUUGUACACACCGCCC
rnacentral:rRNA from 1 species